rnacentral:rRNA from 1 species
GAUGAACGCUGGCGGCAUGCCUAAUACAUGCAAGUCGAGCGAACAGACGAGGACUUUGAUCCUCUGGCGUUAGCGGCGGAGGGGUGAGUAACACGGGGACAACCUACCUAUAAGACUGGGAUACCUUCGGGAAACCGGAGCUACUGCCGACUAAUAUAUUGAACCGGAUGGUGCACUAGUGGAAGACGGUUUUGCUGUCACUUAUAGAUGGAUCAGCGCCUCAUUAGCUAGUUGGCAAGGUAACGGCUUACCAAGGCAACGAUGCGUAGCCGACCUGAGAGGGUGAUCGGCCACACUGGAACUGAGACACGGCCCAGACUCCUACGGGAGGCAGCAGUAGGGAAUCUUGCGCAAUGGGCGAAAGCCUGACGGAGCAAUGCCGCGUGAGUGAUGAAGGUCUUCGGAUCGUAAAGCUCUGUUGUUCGGAAAGAACAAAUGUGUAAUUAACCAUGCAGGUCAUGACGGUACCGGAACAAAAAGCCCCGGCUAACUACGUG